rnacentral:rRNA from 1 species
GACGAACGCUGGCGGCGUGCUUAACACAUGCAAGUCGAACGGAAGGGCACUGCUUUUUUGGGGUGCUCGAGUGGCGAACGGGUGCGUGACACGUGAGUAACCUGCCCUUGACUUUGGGAUAACUUCAGGAAACUGGGGCUAAUACCGUAUAGGAGCUCCUGCUGCAUGGAGGGCGUUGGAAAGUUUCGGCGGUUGGGGAUGGACGCGCGGCUUAUGAGCUUGUUGGUGGGGUAGUGGCUUACCAAGGCUGUGACGGGUAGCCGGCCUGAGAGGGUGACCGGGCACAUUGGGACUGAGAGACGGACCAGACUCCUACGGGAGGCAGCAGUGGGGAAUAUUGCACAAUGGGCGGAAGCCUGAUGAAGCAACGCCGCGUGCGGGAUGACGGCCUUCGGGUUGUAAACCGCUUUCGCCUGUGACGAAGCGUGAGUGACGGUAAUGGGUAAAGAAGCACCGGCUAACUACGUG